CGGGUGAGUAACACGUGGGUAACCUACCCAGAGGUGGGGGAUAACCCUUCGAAAGGAGGGCUAAUACCGCAUAACAUCCCGAGGUCUUCGGGCUUCGGGAUCAAAGCUAGCCUCUACUUGUAAGCUAGCGCCACUGGAGGGGCCCGCGUCCCAUUAGCUUGUUGGUGAGGUAAAGGCUCACCAAGGCCACGAUGGGUAGCCGGCCUGAGAGGGCGAUCGGCCACACUGGAGCUGAGACACGGUCCAG
rnacentral:rRNA from 1 species